AAAGCAGGCUGCAAUUACAGUACUUCAUGUUUGUGGGAGUGCUGUCAUUAUCCUGCUGAGAUUAAAGAUGUCAGGUUGUCUGGUGGCUUCACCUGUAUGUGGGUGGAAUCUUUCAGCGUUAACAUCUACAGUA